UACAGAGGUCUCGAGCGUUGUUCGGAUUCAUUGGGCGUAAAGGGUGCGUAGGUGGCUAGGUAAGUCGGAUGUGAAAUCCCGGGGCUCAACCCCGGAACUGCAUUCGAUACUGCUUGGCUUGAGUACUGGAGAGGAGAUUGGAAUUUACGGUGUAGCAGUGAAAUGCGUAGAUAUCGUAAGGAAGACCAGUGGCGAAGGCGGCUCACUGGCCCGGUACUGACGCUGAGGCACGAAAGCGUGGGGAGCAAACAGG
rnacentral:rRNA from 1 species